UACGUAGGGGGCUAGCGUUGUCCGGAAUCAUUGGGCGUAAAGCGCGUGUAGGCGGUCCGGUAAGUCCGCUGUGAAAGUCGGGGGCUCAACCCUCGAAUGCCGGUGGAUACUGUCGGGCUAGAGUGCGGAAGAGGCGAGUGGAAUUCCUGGUGUAGUGGUGAAAUACGUAGAGAUUGGGAAGAACACCAGUGGCGAAGGCGGCUAUCUGGACGGUUUCUGACGCUAAGACGCGAAAGCGUGGGGAGCAAACAGG
rnacentral:rRNA from 1 species